rnacentral:sRNA from 1 species
CCAACCCAACAGCCAAAACAGCAUCUAUCAAGGCAUGGAUAGUCUCUUUCUUUGUCUGUAAAUUCACCACACACCUAAGAAACUUCCCAUCUCCAGCGGAUGGAUCGUCCUCAACUGGAGGCGCGAAGUCGACCAUGAACCCACAAUUGACUAGCUUUUGGACCACCUCUUCAGUUAUCUUGCUAUUUCGCUUGCCUCGUUCCUCCUCGUCAAUUCGUUUACCCUCAAUUUCCUGAUCGCGGCGGAAGAUGAGUUGUUUGUUAGGAGCAUAGCAAAAACAAACCUGGAGGCAAGGGGGUGGGUUCUCGCUGAUGAGGAGCAGGUUUGGGCAAUCAGAAACAGCCGCAGCAAAAUAAGCGGCCAUGUCAGAAGCGGCAUCGAUUUGACGCUCAUACCCCUCUGUGCCGUAGUAAGUCCAACUCAAAAAGAGCUUGAGGGAAUCGGCUCGACGGCCGCACUGCAACGUCAUAUCAGCAAGAUCCCAAACGUCGGGUACAGACACAUCUGCGUUGCCAUUCAUGUCAGCAGCUAAAUAAUCGUUAUGGAACAGAUAUGCCGCAGGUAGCGUAUUUGCCCGGUGGAAUUUGUUCAUAUCUGCACCCAGAAGGAAUGAGCAGGUCACCGGAACGCCUAACAUUUUGUGCGGGUUAACGGUGAUGCUAUCCGCCAAGUGGGAACCUGCAAUUUUUGCUCUUUGCCUUCUCGAAAACGCAUAUGAACCUCCCCAAGAAGCAUCAACAUGAAACCAAAGAUUAUGUUUCCGGCAAAUGAAAGCAAUUUGUUCCAAAGGGUCAAAUGACCCGAGAACAGUUGUCCCAGCGGUCGCAUUUACGUAAAACGGCGUCCUUCCCUCACUCUUAGCUUUGACAACAAGACUUUCCAGAGAUUGAGGGAUCAUUCGUCCUUUCUGGUCGACUGGCACAGACCAAAUAGCACUGCUCCCGAACCCAAGCGACUGUGCUGCCUUUUCAAUAGAAUAAUGGCCAUGUGCACUAGUGAAUAGAACAAACUUGUAUCCAUCACAGCCAUCCUUCUUAGUUUUAGGGAAUAGAGUAUUUCGAGCGACGACUAUAGAGGUAGCGUUAGAAGCCGAACCUCCCUGAACCGAUAUCCCUCCUGCUUUAGGCCCAUCCAAGCCAAAAAGCGAUGCUACCUGUUUUGAAGUAUACUUUUCAAUAACAGUGAGUGCAGGUGACACUGGAUACACAUGAACAUUUGUAUUCAAUGAGGCGAUAAUCAACUCCGCUGCGACACCCGGCGCAUUUGUGGAUGAAUACAGUUUGUCCAGAAAUCCCUGGUGCCAUGUGUUGACCGAGUACUCUAACACCUGGUCUACAAUUCGAAGGAAGCCAUUUUGUCCCUGACCUGAUGAGGGGAUCUCGAGAUUCAAAGCGGCUUGUAAUUCCUCCGGUCUCAUGCUCUGUACCAGUGCCGAACUGCGGGCUGAGGCAUCCUCAACUUUUGCGGAGCUGAAAUCAUAUUGGUCUGCAGACUGGAUAAAGGCUACAAUGCGUUCUUGGACAGCACUUAAUAACUACAGUGAAAAUACCUAGCGAUCAGCUAACUGUUCUCUUCUCUUCUGCGAAUUCGAGCCGAAAAUACUUCGGCUCAGAGAGCAGAAUCUGGUUUGUCAUGCUCCUAUGAAGCUGCUUCACUCACAUUUCGUACUUCCUCACUCCUCUCCAGGCAUUGAUUCCAUGUGGCGGCCGUAGGGUCAUUCGAAGACAUCGUUAUAGUUUAUGGAGGAUUUUGUAUUCACGACACGUCUAUCAAUUCUACUUAUUGUGGGGUCAACGGGACAAUAAAUAGCCGGCGAGAAGAGCAGGGAUACUGCAGAGAACUUGGGAACUUUUUAAUAAUAUUAUAAUACAGGGCUGCCGCACCUAAGGAUCAAUCCCGAAUGUGGAGCCAUAUCUCAUGGAUGGUGUUAUACUACUAUGUACAUCUGUAUAGAAGACGCGAACGAAGUAUGUCCGUUAGGGA